AUUGAACGCUGGCGGCAGGCUUAACACAUGCAAGUCGAGUGAGCGGAGGACGGGUGAGUAAUGUCUGGGAAAUUGCCUGAUGGCGUGGGAUAACUACUGGAAACGGUAGCUAAUCCCGCAUACUAUCAGAUGUGCCCAGAGGGGAUUAGCUAGGAGGUGGGGUAAUGGGUCACCUAGGCGACGAUCCCUAGUUGGUCUGAGAGGAUGACCAGCCACACUGGAACUGAGACACGGUCCAGACGCCUACGUGAGGCAGCAGUGGGGAAGAUUGCACAAUGGGCGCAAGCCUGAUGCAGCCAUGCCGCGUGUGUGAAGAAGGCCUUCGGGUUGUAAAGCACUUUCAGCGAGGAGGCGUUACUCGCAGAAGAAGCACCGGCUAACUCCGUGCCAGCAGCCGCGGUAAUAC
rnacentral:rRNA from 1 species